rnacentral:rRNA from 1 species
AGAUUGAACGCUGGCGGCAUGCUUUACACAUGCAAGUCGAACGGCAGCACGACGUGUAGCAAUACACGUUGGUGGCGAGUGGCGAACGGGUGAGUAAUACAUCGGAACGUGUCCAGUAGUGGGGGAUAACCAAUCGAAAGAUUGGCUAAUACCGCAUACGAUCU